rnacentral:pre_miRNA from 1 species
UCAACCCAUUUAACCUUCUAACCCAUCAAAUUAAAUGAGUUCAUGGGUUGACUCAACUCAUUUAAGCAAAUGAGUUGAGUCAACCCAUGAACUCAUUUAACUCUAAACUCAUUGGGUAAUGAGU